rnacentral:rRNA from 1 species
UGGGGAAUCUUGGGCAAUGGGGGCAACCCUGACCCAGCGACGCCGCGUGAGUGAGGAAGGUCUUCGGAUCGUAAAGCUCUGUCGGAUGGGAAGAAAUGUAUGGGAGUGAACAGCUUUCAUGCUUGACGGUACCAUCAGAGGAAGCACCGGCUAACUCCGUGCCAGCAGCCGCGGUAAUACGGGGGGUGCAAGCGUGGUUCGGAAUCAUUGGGCGUAAAGGGCGUGUAGGCGGCUGGAUAAGUCAGAUGUGAAAUCCCUGGGCUUAACCCAGGAAGUGCAUUUGAAACUGUCCGGCUUGAGUGAGGGAGAGGAAAGUGGAAUUCCUGGUGUAGAGGUGAAAUUCGUAGAUAUCAGGAGGAACACCGGUGGCGAAGGCGACUUUCUGGCCCUAUACUGACGCUGAGACGCGAAAGCGUGGGGAGCAAACA